rnacentral:rRNA from 1 species
GAUGAACGCUGGCGGCGUGCCUAAUACAUGCAAGUCGAGCGAACAGACGAGGAGCUUGCUCCUCUGACGUUAGCGGCGGACGGGUGAGUAACACGUGGAUAACCUACCUAUAAGACUGGGAUAACUUCGGGAAACCGGAGCUAAUACCGGAUAAUAUAUUGAACCGCAUGGUUCAAUAGUGAAAGACGGUUUUGCUGUCACUUAUAGAUGGAUCCGCGCCGCAUUAGCUAGUUGGUAAGGUAACGGCUUACCAAGGCGACGAUGCGUAGCCGACCUGAGAGGGUGAUCGGCCACAGUGGAACUGAGACACGGUCCAGACUCCGACGGGAGGCAGCAGUAGGGAAUCUUCCGCAAUGGGCGAAAGCCUGACGGAGCAACGCCGCGUGAGUGAUGAAGGGCUGCGGAUCGUAAAACUCUGUUAUGAGGGAAGAACAAAUGUGUAAGUAACUAUGCACGUCUUGACGAUACCUAAUCAGAAAGCCACGGCUAACUACGU